GUGCCUACCUCAGUAGCACAUAUACUAAAAUUGGAAUGAUAUAGAGAAGAUUAGCAUGUCCUCUGUGUAAGUAUGAUAUUCAAAUUCAUGAUGAAGUGGGAAACUUCU
rnacentral:snRNA from 1 species